UAAAUUGUGGAUUAGCUGGAAAGUCAUCUUCCCACUUGCUGGAGAUCCAGCUUGAAAAGUAUUUUCAUUCUGAAACAAAAGGAAAAACUAAAUUCUGAAUGUCUGGAGUAGGACUUCAAGAGCCUAGUUUAUCAAGGUCGAAUGACACCUCAUUUCAACUGUCUCCAGGGUUCAGAAGCCACCCCAAGGUACCUGGAGACCUGACAAGCAAGGCAGGCAAAGUGCCAGGAAACUCACAGAGCCUGGGAGUCUUAACUUCAAAGCAAACAGCCUUCGCCAUGUACCACAAAACCCAGGCUUACCCGAGAAGCAGAAAUCCAGAAGCCUGAACUUUGAGCUUUUGAUCACCUCUGGACAUGGACAGGAGUCUAUUGGAAACACGUGGCCAGUCCCAGGGCUCUGCUGUACCAAGCACCAGAGAAGAGAGCAACCUGACAGCAAAUCUCUGCUCUGCACAAUUUACUGAGCAGAUGUUGGACAGAAUAAAAACAACCCAGACAACAGGAGAAGUUUCCUGAAGCUGAACCUCACCAUGCCAUUUUAUUUAUGUGUUUCCACACCCUCACUGCUCUGAAAACAGAGAUUCACAACUCCUGUAUGAAUGUGCACAUUAAGACUCAAUAAAUGGCAAAUAACA